rnacentral:rRNA from 1 species
CUACGGGAGACAGCAGUGAGGAAUAUUGCACAAUGGGGGGAACCCUGAUGCAGCAACGCCGCGUGGAGGAUGACGCAUUUCGGUGUGUAAACUCCUUUUAUAUGUCAAGAAAAUGACGGUAGCAUAUGAAUAAGCACCGGCUAACUCCGUGCCAGCAGCCGCGGUAAUACGGAGGGUGCAAGCGUUACUCGGAAUCACUGGGCGUAAAGGACGCGUAGGCGGGUUGGAAAGUCAGGUGUGAAAUCCUACAGCUUAACUGUAGGACUGCACUUGAAACUUCUAAUCUAGAGUAUGGGAGGGGGAGAUGGAAUUAGUGGUGUAGGGGUAAAAUCCGUAGAUAUCACUAGGAAUACCUAAAGCGAAGGCGAUCUCCUGGAACAUUACUGACGCUAAGGCGUGAAAGCGUGGGGAGCAAACAGGAUUAGAUACCCCUGUAGUC